GACUUGUCCAAAAGUAGUAGCUUAUGUAAGUUGAUUGUUCAUAAACAGUUGCAGGUUCAUCUCCUUGGUCUUGUUUUCCCCUCUUCUCACUACUGCACUAGACUAGUGUUUU
ensembl:Y_RNA Y_RNA Y RNA